GCGGAGGAUCAUUACUGAAACUUCAUCCGGGGCGCCGCGGCCCUCAGCACCGGUGGAAACGCCGUGUUGCGGGGACCGCGCGUGCACUCGUCCAAACCAAACCCCUGUGAACCUUACGGGAUGGCCUGGGUUAGCGCCCGGUGCCGUUCCGCUUUAUACAAACACUUUUAAAAGAAUGAACUGAAGGCGGUCUGACCGCUGGAUAACAAACUGAAACAACUUUCAACAACGGAUCUCUUGGCUCUCGCAUCGAUGAAGAACGCAGCGAAAUGCGAUAAGUAAUGUGAAUUGCAGAAUUCAGUGAAUCAUCGAAUCUUUGAACGCACCUUGCGCCCUCUGGUAUUCCGGAGGGCAUGCCUGUUUGAGUGUCUUGAUAUCAUCAAACCCCUCGGGUUCGCGCCCGCUGCGGUUUGGAGUUGGGGGCUUGCUGCCGCAAGGCGGCUCCCCUUAAAAUCAUCGGUUUGGCUCGCAUCAUGCGGGCUUGCACCUUUGGCGUUGUAUUUUCCUCGCCUUUGAUCGGUCUUGCUCGCUUCCGCGCCUCACCUCGACUUGCCCUUUGGGUGGCGGUCACUUCUUGACAAUCUGGCCUCAAAUC
rnacentral:rRNA from 1 species